rnacentral:lncRNA from 1 species
GAGUCUAAACCUUUCUUUACCUCUUCUGACCAUUCUGACCAUCUUGAUAUAUCUGAGGUUUUACCUAUACCGGCCUUUAGGGAGUCUACUAUAGCCCCUCCUUCACCUUCCGCCACAGAAGUCUCACUCGAGUCUACUAUAGCUCCUCCUUCACCUUCCGCUACAGAAGUCUUACCCAUUCCAACCGUUGGAGAGCCUAGUGUGGCUCCUCCUAGACUCCCUGCAACAUACACUCCACUCUUGACAUUUCAUCGUCGUCCUCGCCCAGCAUCCGGCCCGGUUGAUUCACGUCCUGCACC